rnacentral:rRNA from 1 species
UGCCAGCCGCCGCGGUAAUACGGAGGGUGCAAGCGUUAUCCGGAAUCAUUGGGUUUAAAGGGUCCGCAGGCGGAUGUAUAAGUCAGUGGUGAAAUCCUGCAGCUUAACUGCAGAACUGCCAUUGAUACUGUACAUCUUGAAUUCGGUCGAAGUGGGCGGAAUGUGUAGUGUAGCGGUGAAAUGCAUAGAUAUUACACAGAACACCGAUAGCGAAGGCAGCUCACUAGGCCGUGAUCGACGCUGAGGAGCGAAAGCUAGGGGAGCAAACAGGAUUAGAUA